rnacentral:rRNA from 1 species
AACGAACGCUGGCGGCAUGCCUAACACAUGCAAGUCGAACGAGACCUUCGGGUCUAGUGGCGCACGGGUGCGUAACGCGUGGGAACCUGCCCUUAGGUUCGGAAUAACUCCCCGAAAGGGGUGCUAAUACCGGAUAAUGUCUUCGGACCAAAGAUUUGUCGCCUUUGGAUGGGCCCGCGUUGGAUUAGCUAGUUGGUAGGGUAAAACCCUACCAAGGCGACGAUCCAUAGCUGGUCUGAGAGGAUGAUCAGCCACACUGGGACUGAGACACGGCCCAGACUCCUACGGGAGGCAGCAGUGGGGAAUAUUGGACAAUGGGCGAAAGCCUGAUCCAGCAAUGCCGCGUGAGUGAUGAAGGCCUUAGGGUUGUAAAGCUCUUUUACCCGGGAUGAUAAUGACAGUACCGGGAGAAUAAGCUCCGGCUAACUCCGUG